rnacentral:rRNA from 1 species
UACAGAGGGGGCGAGCGUUAUUCGGAAUUAUUGGGCGUAAAGGGCGCGUAGGCGGCUUUGCAAGUGACGGGUGAAAGCCCUCGGCUUAACCGAGGAACUGCCUGUCAGACUGUGAGGCUUGAGACCGGGAGAGGUGAGUGGAAUUCCCAGUGUAGCGGUGAAAUGCGUAGAUAUUGGGAGGAACACCAGUGGCGAAGGCGGCUCACUGGACCGGAACUGACGCUGAGGCACGAAAGUGUGGGGAUCAAACAGG